UUUUGGACAAUGGGGGAAACCCUGAUCCAGCAAUGCCGCGUGAGUGAAGAAGGCCUUCGGGUUGUAAAGCUCUUUUGUCAGGGAAGAAACACCGGCUCUAACACAGUCCGGGAAUGACGGUACCUGAAGAAUAAGCACCGGCUAACUACGUGCCAGCAGCCGCGGUAAUACGUAGGGUGCAAGCGUUAAUCGGAAUUACUGGGCGUAAAGCGUGCGCAGGCGGUUAUACAAGACAGGCGUGAAAUCCCCGGGCUUAACCUGGGAAUGGCGCCUGUGACUGUAUAGCUAGAGUGUGUCAGAGGGGGGUAGAAUUCCACGUGUAGCAGUGAGAUGCGUAGAUAUGUGGAGGAAUACCAAUGGCGAAGGCAGCCCCCUGGGAUAACACUGACGCUCAUGCAGAAA
rnacentral:rRNA from 1 species